UACGGAGGGGGCUAGCGUUGUUCGGAAUUACUGGGCGUAAAGCGCACGUAGGCGGCUUUGUAAGUUAGAGGUGAAAGCCCGGGGCUCAACUCCGGAAUUGCCUUUAAGACUGCAUCGCUAGAAUUGUGGAGAGGUAAGUGGAAUUCCGAGUGUAGAGGUGAAAUUCGUAGAUAUUCGGAAGAACACCAGUGGCGAAGGCGGCUCACUGGACCGGAACUGACGCUGAGGCGCGAAAGCGUGGGGAGCAAACGGG
rnacentral:rRNA from 1 species